rnacentral:sRNA from 1 species
AAGUGCCAUCGCAAUUCAAACUGCUCCAAUUGAGCGAGCUGCUGGUCUUCCGACAAUUUGAAAACAUUAAAACAGUCGUAACUCCUAGGGCAACAGGACUUUUCGACAUCCAAUUUGAGGCAGUGUCCACCCACAAUUACGUUGCGACUGCGCCACAUUUCCGUUUUGACCAAAUUUCAGAGCUGGUGAUUGACUUGCGCUACGCUUUUAUGUGCGACUGGGACAAGUGAAAAUGAAUUUUCAUUCCGGAAUACGCAAAAAAAAAAAAAAAGAAAAGGAGAGAAGGCCCACAGAUCGAAAGUCAACGAAAAAUGUCUUGUGUUAUAAAAACUAAUGAUUGGCAAUUGGUUUUUACUGUUAUUGCCGCGCCCUGUUUCCUUGUUGGGCGCAGAGGCGUGGCAACGUGGAACUGAAAUUGGAAUUGUAUCGAGGCCGAGAGUUCUACGCAUUGUCUUGCAAUACGCAUAAUUUCCAGCCGCGUGCACUUGCAGGAAAAUCAUCUUGCUACAUCUUAAUUGUUGGCGCUUCCGUUCGAGAUGCUACAUUAAUUUCGAAGUAAAUCCCAUGGUCUCCAUUCACCAGAGAAGAAUAGCUGUAUCCAUAUAAAGCGAGCCAGGCCUUCAACAAAUUCUAAUUUAUUGCAAUUAUGUGACGCAUGUCACACUCACUGCUGACCAUUGACCAGGAGGCCGACACGUGACCAAUCUGCUUGCCCCGGGGCCACUGAUUGGAAAACACUAAACAGAUAGGCUAGUCGAGCGGGCGGCCAGACAGCAGCUGUCCGACCAUUCUAUAGAGAUUUAUUUUACGCUGAUAACACGCUUAAGUAAAUGCAGCGCACACACAGACACACACACGCCGUCGUCGUGGACGUCACCCAGCUCCCAGUUCGAGUUCGUACAAUUUAAAUGGCGAUUAAAUCUGUUGGCAUUGAUGGAUGUGUCCAAGGCGGCUGCGUGGCUAGCGGGCUGACUGGCUGCCGGGCUGCCAGGCUGCUGGGUUGGCAGCCUGUUCUGUGGUCAGUCUGCAGGAUGCGGCGCCGUGUUAACACUUUUGUACAAUUGCCAAUUUUUCGCCAGCGCCUGCUGAUGAGCUAUCCUCAACAGCCGAGCAGCCCGCCUGGCCUGACUGUGUGUGGGUGGUUGGUUGGUUUGCCUGGUUGCUGGCCAGCGGUGGCUUUUGUGGUGUUGUCCUCGGCUGAAAGCCUGUUCUUGCCGUGAGUGGGUGGACAUUGAGUUGGGCUGGCAUGCGGCUACACUUCAAUAUUCAUUUGAACGCAUAAUUGAUAUUGACGAACAAUGUUGCCGUGUCGCUACAAUGUUUCAAGUGCACUGGGAGAAUGCGCUAAGCCUGCAUUAAG